rnacentral:lncRNA from 1 species
ACCUCAAACCACAGUGUGUUCAUGUGUUUCCUGGAGUUCUUGAAAAGGAGAAGGUGUGAGAUUAAACUCAGGAAUCUCUGUCUCUAACAAUUUCCUAAGUUUAUAAUGACCACAUUGAUCCAAGCACCCCAGUCUGAGUAACAAGGAACACAAUGAUGGCUGGAAUACUCGUGAACUUCGAAUUCUUUGUUUCUAGGGCUAGGCAUGGUACCCAGACCCAGCAAUGCCCAUCAGAGUCUAUGAGGGCAUCAGGACAAGGAGGAUGGAAUGGGGAGGGUGAAGAAAAUCCUGCUGUACCUGCGAUGGACGAAAAGGUCGGGUGAAAGAUGAGUUGCAAUGGAGGUUAAGACCCGAGAUACCAAAGACAAGCAGAGGGUGAGCCAUGGAAAGAAUAUGCCUUGCAUCUCCGUGCCCAAAGUACUCUUAGUAAUGAUGGCGGUAAUUUAUAUGAAAGGAUGCACAAGCUUAACUGGAAAUCCCAGAAUGUCCAAAGGAAAAGAUGGAAGGCUCUUCAUCAGCAACGACAGAUGUCAAAAGUAACCUGCAAGCAUUACGUCUUAGGAGUCUGGUCAAGAGCUCCAUACACUCGUGAAGGCAUUAGUUCAUUAGUUCCAAAAGGAUAGGUGUAUGGUCAACAUUUGGGCCAUGGCUCCACGUGAGUUUUGUGUAUUUCACUCCUACAAGGCCCAUGGACAGUGCCCUCCAGGACAAAUUUUCUUCUGUGCUUCUAAAGAUGAAAGACUUCCCUACCGACGGGAAUGAGAUUUGCC